rnacentral:rRNA from 1 species
AGUGAACGCUGGCGGUAGGCCUAACACAUGCAAGUCGAACGGCAGCACAGUAAGAGCUUGCUCUUACGGGUGGCGAGUGGCGGACGGGUGAGGAAUACAUCGGAAUCUACUUUUUCGUGGGGGAUAACGUAGGGAAACUUACGCUAAUACCGCAUACGACCUACGGGUGAAAGCAGGGGAUCUUCGGACCUUGCGCGAUUGAAUGAGCCGAUGUCGGAUUAGCUAGUUGGCGGGGUAAAGGCCCACCAAGGCGGCGAUCCGUAUAUGGUCUGAGAGGAUGACGGCCGACCUGGGAAGUGAAACAGCGUCCAGGGUCGUGGGGGAUAAGGCGGGGGGGAAUGUUGGAAAAUGGGGGGAAGUCUGCUCCAGCCAUGCGGGGUGGGUAAAGAAGGCCUUGGGGUUGUAAAGCCGUUUUGUGGGGAAAAAAAGGCAGCAGUUUAAUACGCUGCUGUUGUGACGGUAACGAAAAAAGAAGCACCGGCUAACUUCGUG